rnacentral:lncRNA from 1 species
GGAAGAAAAAGGUUUCUAAAGAAUUAGGGGCUUGAUUUUUCUGCCAUUUAGUAGACAUUUGAUUUUUAGAUGAAUUGGUUACAAGUUUCUGAAAUCUCUUUCUCAGGAUGUUUGAUCCUGGAAAGUAGAAUAGACUUCAGAAUAUUUCAGUCUCAAGUGUGAAUAGACCCAAAGAUUUUCACCUGUCUCUACAAUAGACAGACAAAUGAUCAGAGAGCUUGUCAAAGUUAAUGAAGUCUCUUCUGGUCCAGAGAUUGUAUAUUACCUAUCAUUAUAACUCUUAUUCUACUAUGAAAAGUGAAAGUGGAAUUCGCUAAGUCAUGUCCAACUCUUUGCAACCCCACGGACUUUAGCCAGCCAGGUUCCUCUGUCCAUGGAAUUCUCUAGACCAGAUUACUAGAGUGGGUAGCCUUUCCCUUCUCCUGGGGAUCUUCCCAACCCAGGGAUCAAAUCCAGGUCUCCCAUGUUGUAGGCAGAUUCUUUACCAUCUGAGCCACCAGGGAAGAUCAAUUAGCUGAUGCUCAGCAAAUCUUGCUGGAAAAAAAACAAAGUUGUGAAUGCAUAGCAUGUUUGGUUAAGGAAUUGUGGUCUCUUAUUUUUAGUUCUCAAAGGAAAAAAACCUGAUUUGUAGCAUUUGCCACUUUCUGUGGUGUAAAUACUGGCAGUCAGGCCACUGGCAAGUUGCCAAUGGUGUAACAGUCAGUCAGUCAGCUCAGUCACUCAGUUGUGUCUGACACUUCGCGACCCCAUGGUCUGCAGCAUGCCAGGCCUCCCUGUCCAUCACCAACUCCUGGAGUUUAUUCAAACUCAUGUCCAUUGAGUCGGUGAUGCCAUCCAACCAUCUCAUCCUCUGUUGUCUCUGUUGUCUCCUCCCAACCAGCUCACAAAGGUUCCAGAAGUUUAUCAGCUGGCUCUUGUGACUGGCAGGAGUCAAGUCCAGCAGACCUGUGCUUGUAGCAGUACAGUCUUGGAUCUCUGUGUUCACAAAGCAGAGCAGGGGACUUCUUCCUACCUGUUGGAGCACUCUCUGCUCUGGUAUUAGAGGGUGGGUCACACUCUAAGGGAAACUCCUGCAGUUUAUAGCAGAGGCCGACUCCUUCCUAUGACCUCAACAGCAAAUGGAGUAGGAAGAAAUGGAAAACUGAAAGAAGCACUAUUAUCUCUAAAGCUAAGGCCAAGUGAGAACGCCCCUAAGGGACA